AGAAUCACUCAAUUCCCAGACUCUUUUAUGACAGUAUUUAGAAUCAGAGAGGAAAUUAAAUAAAGAGGUGCCUGUGUAGCUGGGCCUAUGACCAUUGGAGGGAAGUUUCUUACACGUAGUCUCACCAUGUAAUGAAUAGGAGAGAAAGGCAGGACCAAGCUAGAGCUCAGAAAAUGCUUGUCUUGAAGCUUCUACCUUUAAGAGUAUCUAGGUCUGGGGUAAUCAGUUUUCUGUUGUCACUAUGACUUCCAAUUAGAUAGAUAGAUAGAUAGAUAGAUAGAUAGAUAGAUAGAUAGAUAGAUUAAUUGCUUUUCCUUUAACUAGGCUACAGAAGUAUUGAUUCCUAUGGGCAUAGAGACCAUCCCAGUCCAGAUGAGAUCCCACCAUGAAAAGACCAAAGUGACAGGAAAUCUUCUGAAUCAGAAAAAGCCUGGAACUCGGAUUCUCAAAAGUAAAUUCUCCAACUGUUUAUGCUUCACCACCACUGGAUCUAGCUGAAGUCACCCCAAGGAACAGAGUGCACUGUUUACACAGGGACACAGGUAACCUAGACUUGGGUCUAAGAUGAG
rnacentral:lncRNA from 1 species